UGAUCAACUUCUGCAAACAAAGUACACUGCUAAGGAUGUAAAAAUUCACUCGCUAGUGCAUCUAGUCUAGCACCCUGUGGUUAGCAGGAUGUUCUUGGAAAUCUAACAGGAGGUCUCUAAGGAUGCAUCUACACUGACAUGAAAACCCAGCUUACUUUUGGAAUAGUCCAGUCUGCAGCAACCACAGGCUUGUCCACACAUACGGGAUGAUAAUGCACAAAAAGACAUAAGCUGGAACACUCCUUUAGUCCUGACUACAGGAGAGCCAUUGAUUUAUCUAUGUGUUGACUCACCAUUCAAAACUUGAUCAACUGGAUCUUUUCUAGUUGGGACUAAUCAACAAGCUGCAGCCAAGAAAUUGUUAAGGCAAACUACCAGCUGUCCUUAAUUUGUAUGUAUAUGUGUA